rnacentral:rRNA from 1 species
CCUACGGGAGGCAGCAGUGGGGAAUAUUGGACAAUGGGCGCAAGCCUGAUCCAGCCAUGCCGCGUGAGUGAUGAAGGCCUUAGGGUUGUAAAGCUCUUUUACCAGGGAAGAUAAUGACGGUACCUGGAGAAUAAGCCCCGGCUAACUUCGUGCCAGCAGCCGCGGUA